rnacentral:tRNA from 1 species
GGGCCCUUAGCUCAGUUGGUAGAGCACCUGACUUUUAAUCAGGGUGUCGAUGGUUCGAAUCCAUCAGGGCCCACCA